GCGCGCUUAGUUUAACGGCAAAACGUCGUCCUGAUAAGACGAAGACCGAUGGUUCGACUCCAUCAGCGCGCA
rnacentral:tRNA from 1 species